UAGCUUGCUACCUGACCUAGCGGCGGACGGGUGAGUAAUGCUUAGGAAUCUGCCUAUUAGUGGGGGACAACAUUCCGAAAGGAAUGCUAAUACCGCAUACGCCCUACGGGGGAAAGCAGGGGAUCUUCGGACCUUGCGCUAAUAGAUGAGCCUAAGUCAGAUUAGCUAGUUGGUGGGGUAAAGGCCUACCAAGGCGACGAUCUGUAGCGGGUCUGAGAGGAUGAUCCGCCACACUGGGACUGAGACACGGCCCAGACUCCUACGGGAGGCAGCAGUGGGGAAUAUUGGACAAUGGGCGAAAGCCUGAUCCAGCCAUGCCGCGUGUGUGAAGAAGGCCUUUUGGUUGUAAAGCACUUUAAGCGAGGAGGAGGCUACUUGGAUUAAUACUCUAGGAUAGUGGACGUUACUCGCAGAAUAAGCACCGGCUAACUCUGUGCCAGCAGCCGCGGUAAUACAGAGGGUGCGAGCGUUAAUCGGAUUUACUGGGCGUAAAGCGUGCGUAGGCGGCUUUUUAAGUCGGAUGUGAAAUCCCUGAGCUUAACUUAGGAAUUGCAUUCGAUACUGGGAAGCUAGAGUAUGGGAGAGGAUGGUAGAAUUCCAGGUGUAGCGGUGAAAUGCGUAGAGAUCUGGAGGAAUACCGAUGGCGAAGGCAGCCAUCUGGCCUAAUACUGACGCUGAGGUACGAAAGCAUGGGGAGCAAACAGGAUUAGAUACCCUGGUAGUCCAUGCCGUAAACGAUGUCUACUAGCCGUUGGGGCCUUUGAGGCUUUAGUGGCGCAGCUAACGCGAUAAGUAGACCGCCUGGGGAGUACGGUCGCAAGACUAAAACUCAAAUGAAUUGACGGGGGCCCGCACAAGCGGUGGAGCAUGUGGUUUAAUUCGAUGCAACGCGAAGAACCUUACCUGGUCUUGACAUAGUAAGAACUUUCCAGAGAUGGAUUGGUGCCUUCGGGAACUUACAUACAGGUGCUGCAUGGCUGUCGUCGGCUCGUGUCGUGAGAUGUUGGGUCAAGUCCCGCAACGAGCGCAACCCUUUUCCUUAUUUGCCAGCGGGUUAAGCCGGGAACUUUAAGGAUACUGCCAGUGACAAACUGGAGGAAGGCGGGGACGACGUCAAGUCAUCAUGGCCCUUACGACCAGGGCUACACACGUGCUACAAUGGUCGGUACAAAGGGUUGCUACCUAGCGAUAGGAUGCUAAUCUCAAAAAGCCGAUCGUAGUCCGGAUUGGAGUCUGCAACUCGACUCCAUGAAGUCG
rnacentral:rRNA from 1 species